GAGCUAAAUGAGGGCAGCAAGGAAAAAAUGGGUCCCUCAACAAGUGUGAGAGGGAGGCGAGAACCAGGUGCAUGGGAGCUGCACAGCCAGCAUCCUCCAAAAGGAAAAAAUCCAUAGCUAAGGGCUUUUUUUUGUGCCCUGAGCUGGGGAUACAGCUAUGAAGAUGACCUGGUCCCAACUUGGAGUAGCAUAGAAUCUGGUAGUAACUAGAGUUCGCUCGAGUGUCACCCUCCUCCCAGUCAUUGUCCUGCCUGCCCCUGCAGCACACUGCCCACCUAAAAGGAUUGGUCAUCACUGUCUUGGGGAAGUGGAGGUGAUGCUAGCACUGAGGAAGAAAUCAGAACUGAGCUUCACGCAACUCAUCUGAGAAUUGUUUCUCUCUGAACCCUUGCUAGACUUGUCCUUACAGCUGACUUUUGGUGAUGAUAGAUGGGCCUUAUUUCAAAAUUAAUGAGGUGAGGACACACCUACCUCAUGAGAAGGUGUAUCCUAUGAAAAUAUAAUUCAGAGUCUCUUUAAGUGGGUGGAAUAUGGUUACCUAGGUGCUAUUGGAAUUGAUUCUGUGGGACUGAUCUUUCCCUCCCUGAACCUUCCAUACCUGGGAAUCUACCAUUAUCAGUUCUUGGGUUUCACAUUGCCUUUUCUAGGCUCCUGUUUUAAAAAUGGAAAUACCCCUAGGAAGAACAUCAAGACCCGAACAUUGAGAAUAGACAGCCAAACGUUGCUGAACAGCAAGAGUAAUCCAAUUCAUAGGGACAUUGUGCAUUCCUGUCAGAAGAGCCCUGUAAUCAGGGACUACAGGCAAGGCCAGCUUACUGCUGCAAAAUGUGUGGGCUGUUACUACGCGGCCAACUUCUUGGAUUGCUGUGAGAUUCAAAUGCAAUAAAGAAUGGCAAAAAGGGUUAAAUUGUAAAUCAAGAUAAAAAUGGGAAUCAUUAUUCAACCAGCUGGUGGUGUGAAGAACUGGAAUUAAUUUUGAUAAAGACAGCAAGGAAUACUCUGGACCACAAGUAUUGAAAAUAAACAUCAAAAGGAGGUGUCAGGAGCUCUCUAUUAGAACUCUGAAGGAUAAUAUGGUUUUCAUUGUUUGGAAGGGCCUUUCUGGAUAUGUCAGGGGUUCAGUAAGAAGGAUGCCUUUCUCCUUUGAGAAACACAAAUGAUAUAUUUCCACAUUGGAAUAAUGGUCAGUGGAUCUUUCCAAAAGAAAAGUUAAAAAGACUUUCAAAAAUUUUAGGAAACUUGGCGGGGAAAAAAAAUCCACAAUCACCACUACUGUCAUCAUCAUCGUCAUCAAAUUAAUCCUUUGAAAAAUCUCAAAAGGUUUCUCAGUGAAGUAUGAAGACAGUGAUGAAGAACACUGAUUUCUAGUUGUCUUGAAUUCUGUGCCAUCAAAUGAUCAGCAUGAAAUGGAAUCAAUGCUGAAAAUUUCAAAACAACGUUUGAGUGUGUGUGUGUGUGUGUGUGUGUGUGUGUG